rnacentral:lncRNA from 1 species
CCUUUUUAGGUAGUGAAUUAUGAAACCACUGAUAUGUGGUAUUUUUUUUGUUUUAUUUUUAAACCUGUUUCAGUUUAUUCAGUAUUACAGUAGCAAAUUGUAAUGUGGGUUUACUCCUUAGAUCAGAGUUUCCCAAACUCUGUCCUGCCCCCCCCGGAUGCACAUUUUGGUUUUUGCCCUAGGACUACACAGCUACUAAUCCAAAUAACCAACUAAUCAAGCUUUGAUUAUUUAAAUCAGCUGUGUAGUGCUAGGGCAAAAAAACCUAAAUGUGCACCCAGGAGGGGACCCAGGACUGAGUUUGGGAAAUCCUGGUGGCUCCAAAACAUUUACAAUUAAGUAGAAUUGGUUGAAAGGAAGAAGUGGGGUUUUUCCUUCACUACAAAUGUUAGAUAUGAAGGUAAAAGAUGAGGCAGCCCUUUUAGAAUGAAGGUAUAGCUUUAAUCAUUGGGUGAGUAGUAGACUGCACCCUGUGAGCAGGCAGAGUAUGACCUUUGACCUGUUUUGGAUGCUACAAACCUGAGCAGCCACUGCGUCCUUUCAGUUUGGACAAAUGUUAGGCAGAGCAGGCAGCACUGUUGGGUUGUUCCAACUCCUUCCCCUCCAUACAGUAGAAAUGCCGGUUUAUUUUUAGCAUGGUUUUCUUCUGGAGAUUUCACCUGGCUCUCCAUACAACAACCAUAUAGCUUCCAAAUUCCCCUCUGCUUUGUAUAAAUCUCUAAGUAGAAAAAAAGAAAGUGAAACCUGUGCGCUUCUUUAGUGUCUCAUUGACGUCUUCCUGCAACAAGGAGCUACCCUGGAGUACUCUGCUUAGAAAAGAGGACUUAUUUCGGAGAGAGGAGACAUUGCCUGUAUUGAUAGUCAUUGCUGCUUUUGAUUUGCAUGCUGUUUGGUUUGCAAACACAUUAUUUGGGUAGUUUGAUUCUGAAGGACUGAGAUGCACUUAUAUGGGCGGUCUUAAAUGGCAGAUGUAUAAUUUUUUGUCAUUUUUUCCUGAGAUGGUAUAAAAGACAUGUUGUACCUUAUCUGCUUAUUUAGAAACCAGUGCUGUUUAUUCCAUGAGAUAUCAUUAGUUUCUUUUCAAGAAAAAAAUAUAUACAAUUUUAUAUAUUUUCAAAUGUAUAAUUUCCAUCCUGUGUUUAAAAACUUGAAUUUUAUUUAAACUUGAAAAUGACUUUGCCUUAACUUUUAUACGAGACAACGUAGAGUUAGUUUAUUAUUUUUUUUCAAACCCCAACAUUUUACUAAGGGAGACGCAUGGAAAUAUUUAGUCAUACCUAACGUCAGAAGUCUUACUUGGUCUUAAAGUACAAAUCAAGCAGCAUUUUGGUUUUGUAAAAUUUAUCUCAAGUCUCUUUUGAUUAACCUUGUUCCUUGUUUCUGUUUGAUUUUGGGGGAAAAUAUAAAUCCUGUAAAUGCAAAAUAGUCAAUACUGUAUCAAAUAUGUGCACUUUGAACUGUGUGCUUUGCUUGUACAGUUGUAAAUAAUCAGAAAAUAUAAAGAGGUACCUUAAAAUGAUUUAAAAAAACAUAUAUUGAUCUUGUUGAACUAUUAAUGUCGCUUUUGAGCUGGAUGUAGGAUAACUAAAUGUUUGAAUUUCUUUUUAAAAAUGUUGUUCUGAUGUGAAGAAUUGCGUCUGCCUCACUUUGCAAUGUGGGCAGGCUGUCUGAUUGUAACUUUUUAAAUGUCCUUCUCAUUCCAUUUCCAUGUGUUUUCUCAACAAACAGGUGUUUGUUUCUGUUGUUUAGCCCCUUCACUGUGCACAAUGAGAAAAGGGGAGAACCUACCUGUUGUACAAACACACAUCUUCAAAUGAUAGUACAAAGUCCGUACUCUGUCCUGUGACAGACAGCUUAUAUCAAUCUGAUGUGUGAUUUGGCCCAUAAAACAGUUAUUUAUGAAUCACAAUAAAGCACAUUUUAAGCACAGGAACAUCAAAUCUUUCACACACAACCAAUGUCAAUUCCGCAGCAGCAUAUGGUAUAAUUUGUACCAGACAACCGUUAAUCAUUUGGCCCAAAUUGAUUAAGCAUUGUUGGUAUUUUGUUGAUAUUCUGUCAUUUGUUUUUAUUUGAAGUUUUGUUUUUCAUGAAAAUGUAUAUCAACUGAACUUUUGUAGCCCCCAGAAGUAAUAACUGUACUUUCUUUUUUUUGGUAGGCUUUACCAGUGUUUAGACUCAAUCAUAAUAGUGUAGAUAUUUUUUACACUUAUCAUUUCUGCAAGAAAAUUAGUUCCGGCACACUGUAUAACAUACUGUGCGUUGUCUUUUUGUAUAAUUUGAUCACACACGUGGACUGCAUUUAAUGUGGCAAAAAAAAACAACUGUGCCAUUUAAUUUGUUUCAGCCUGGCAGUUUGUUUGACUUGUACAUAAUAUUUAAGCACCUGCCAUUAUAUUUUGAUAUUUGUUGUUACUCAUGGGAAGUGUAGCUGGUCCAGAAUUAUAAAACUGGGAAUUAAAAUCUGAUACCACUGACAUUAGACAAAGUACUCAUAGCAACCUGCAUCUGACCGGGUAUCUGAUCUGGCUUAUGAAGUCGAGGCAUGUUUGUCUGUAAAUUUAAGCUGGUCUAUGCUAGUAGGCAUAUCUAAUGCAAAAUGCUAAUGCUGUUGUCUUUGCAGAUUGGAUAUGUUAUCAAGCUGGGCACUGUGGGUGUGUGUGAGCGUGAAGUGUACCACCUGGGGUCAGCAGAAGUAUAAAACACAAAUGCAAAGUUGACUGACGGUUGAAGUCAAGUUAACCCAAGGUUCAUUCACCAGCUAGGUGUGUGCAGCAUGAUAAGGAUUUUUCAUUAAAUGUUAUUGGUUCAUCUCUCCAGAAGAUGAUGGCACUGCUUACAGUACGAAAGACUGACUGAACUUGUGUUGAACCUUUUCUUCUUUCUUUUGCUCGCACUACUAAAGCCCUGUUGUAAUGUUCGGGCUGUUCUCCUUGUGUUACUGUACACAGACAAUGUCUCUCAUAUCAGGCCGUCUCGUUCUCUUUGCCCAGUUCGCUUCGAUCUGCUUCGUCUCACCAGUUUGACAGUGCCAUGUAUUUUUUGCAACGGCUACAGCUUGUUGUAAGUUGACCUUGCUUCUAAAGUGAUGUGACAAUGCACCAACUGACUGGAAUGAGACACAGCCAUUGUCUCACUAUCAACUCACUGUGGUCAAUUAACUCAUUUUUACCCAUACCAUGUUACGCUAACAGCAGUGGACAAUCGCUGACUUUAUGGGAGAGAAGAACCUAUGAACAUAACAGCAGUUCAUGGAGGUAUCUUUGAGUGCUUUUGAUUUGUCUUACCUAUUCUUCCAUUAAGACUGGAAUCAAGCGUACAUGUCAACUAUUGAUAAUUUAAGUUACUCUUGUGUCAUGUUAAGCUGUCUAAUUUGGAGGAAAAAAAUGUAGCUUACUGAAAAAUAAAGAUUUAGGCACUGUUA